rnacentral:lncRNA from 1 species
GACAAUCUAGGGCUCCACGUAGAUUGGACUCCAAAAUCCUAGCUCUGAGGUCUCAAGCGUCUAUCAAUCGGGGUCUUGAUUAAUCACCAAUCCGAGAGUCUGCCAAGCAAGGCAUUUGAACCACAACCAUCCCUGAUUAAAGUUUUAAAUCAAGCACAAAGCUCUACCAACAACAUCUCAAACCAUAAGUAUCAAUCAGGGUUUAGCUCUUGUACACAAGCCAGCCACAAAAUCCUUUGAGAUCAAG